rnacentral:rRNA from 1 species
UACGGAGGGUGCAAGCGUUAAUCGGAAUUACUGGGCGUAAAGCGCACGCAGGCGGUCUGUCAAGUCGGAUGUGAAAUCCCCGGGCUCAACCUGGGAACUGCAUCCGAAACUGGCAGGCUAGAGUCUUGUAGAGGGGGGUAGAAUUCCAGGUGUAGCGGUGAAAUGCGUAGAGAUCUGGAGGAAAACCGGUGGCGAAGGCGGCCCCCUGGACAAAGACUGACGCUCAGGUGCGAAAGCGUGGGGAGCAAACAGGAUUAGAUACCCUGGUGGUCCUCGCCGUAAUCGAUGUCGACUUGUAGGUUGUGCCCUUGAGGCGUGGCUUCCGGAGCUAACGCGUUAAGUCGUCCGCCUGGGGAGUACGGCCGCAAGGUUAAA